UUUUAAUGAUCGAUCAACUUUUGAUUUGAAAUAGGACACCAAUUUUAUUUUAAAUUGUCAGAAACCAUUCUAAUUGUCUCGCGAAGAGGCUAUGAAACGUCCUUUUUGAAGCCAUUUGGUUAAUUUCAUGGAAAUAAAACAUAUCGAGAUGGCGGUAGUGUCGUAAUGUUCAUAAUAUUUGAUCGUAUUGUUAGAUUUCAGUUGACAAUAACGAAUUCGUUCUUUGCUAGGAAAAAUAUUUAAUUUUUUAUAUCAUAUAUUUAAUAAAUGUUUUCUUCUCCGCUUUCCAAAUAUUUAAUUAACUAAUAUAAACUUUCUUAUUUACUGGCACGUUAUAUUUACCAAUUACUAAACACUAAAAUAAUAAUAAUAUUUACAAUGCUAGUAACUAAUUAAAUAUUUACAUUCGCAUUAUGUCGCAUUAAUAGUUGGCAACACUAAUCGUUUUGAAUAGCAGUGAACUAUAUAAACUGUUCGAGGCGCAUUUCACUUCCCCGUCAGAUGAACGCUUUAUAGAUUGCCUAGGAUUUUUUGUUGUAUCCUGGACAUAAAAAUAAUAUAACGGUGUUCGAGUCCAAUCUGGAUCUUUCUCUACAUCAUCUUCAACAAAACUAUCAUCUGAUAUAAAAGAAUUCUCAUAAUAUGUUGAAGAUAUUUUUUGUACUUUUGGAGUACUCAUAAUUGAAGAAUUCUCAUUGUUCGUCCUAGAAUUAUUCUCUUUUAAAACCUACAAAAUAUAUAUACACGUGUUAUAAAUAAAUAAAUAAAUAAAUAAAUAUAUAUACAUAUAUAUAUAUAUAUAUAAUGCUUA